UCCAAUGUGGUGUAGUGGCUAACAUUGCUGUCUUUCAUACGUUGUCGCUAUAUGUUUGCACAGCAGCCCGGGGUUCGAUUCCCAGCAUUGGAA